GACGAACGCUGGCGGCGUGCUUAACACAUGCAAGUCGAACGGAAAGGCCCUGCUUGCAGGGUACUCGAGUGGCGAACGGGUGAGUGACACGUGGGUGAUCUGCCCUGCACUUCGGGAUAAGCCUGGGAAACUGGGUCUAAUACCGGAUAGGAGCCAUUUUUAGUGUGAUGGUUGGAAAGUUUUUUCGGUGUAGGAUGAGCUCGCGGCCUAUCAGCUUGUUGGUGGGGUAAUGGCCUACCAAGGCGGCGACGGGUAGCCGGCCUGAGAGGGUGGACGGCCACAUUGGGACUGAGAUACGGCCCAGACUCCUACGGGAGGCAGCAGUGGGGAAUAUUGCACAAUGGGCGCAAGCCUGAUGCAGCGACGCCGCGUGGGGGAUGACGGCCUUCGGGUUGUAAACUCCUUUCGCUAGGGACGAAGCUUUUUGUGACGGUACCUAGAUAAGAAGCACCGGCUAACUACGUG
rnacentral:rRNA from 1 species